UACAGAGGGUGCGAGCGUUAAUCGGAAUUACUGGGCGUAAAGCGCACGUAGGCGGCUUUGUAAGUCGGUUGUGAAAUCCCCGGGCUCAACCUGGGAACUGCAUCCGAAACUACAUUGCUAGAGUAUGGGAGAGGGAGGCGGAAUUUCCGGUGUAGCAGUGAAAUGCGUAGAUAUCGGAAGGAACAUCAGUGGCGAAGGCGGCCUCCUGGACCAAUACUGACGCUCAGGUGCGAAAGCGUGGGGAGCAAACAGG
rnacentral:rRNA from 1 species